rnacentral:rRNA from 1 species
UACAGAGGUCUCAAGCGUUGUCCGGAAUCAUUGGGCGUAAAGCGCGCGUAGGUGGCUUCGUAAGUCCGCUGUGAAAGUCAAAGGCUCAACCUUUGAAAGCCGGUGGAUACUGUGAAGCUAGAGUACGGAAGAGGCGAGUGGAAUUCCUGGUGUAGCGGUGGAAUGCGCAGAUAUCAGGAGGAACACCAAUAGCGAAGGCAGCUCGCUGGGACGUUACUGACACUGAGACGACGAACGUGGGGAGCGAACAGGG